ACAUUUGUGUAUUUUUAUGUCAGAUUUUGUAAAGAAAUAGGUUUUAAGUGAGGUGAAACUUGGAGAAACGCAAGAGAAAUCAGAUUGCUGAAAGGGGUACAGCAGUGCAGAAAGGUUGAGAGCCACUGGCUUACACAGUGCCAAAGCUUUCUCUGU